GAUGAACGCUGGCGGCCUGCCUAAUACAUGCAAGUCGAGCGAACAGAUAAGGAGCUUGCUCCUUUGACGUUAGCGGCGGACGGGUGAGUAACACGUGGAUAACCUACCUAUAAGACUGGGAUAACUUCGGGAAACCGGAGCUAAUACCGGAUAACAUAUUGAACCGCAUGGUUCAAUAGUGAAAGGCGGCUUUGCUGUCACUUAUAGAUGGAUCCGCGCCGUAUUAGCUGGUUGGUAAGGUAACGGCUUACCAAGGCAACGAUACGUAGCCGACCUGAGAGGGGAGUCGGCCAACCGGGACCGGGAAACCGGUCCAACUCCCAAGGGAGGGAAGAGUGGGGAAUCUUGCCGAAGGGGGGGAAGGCCUGACGGGCCAACCCCCGGGGGGGGAUGAGGGUUUUCGGUUGGUAAAACUUUUUUACCGGGAAAAAAAAAAUGUGAAAGUAACUGGGACCUUUUUGAGGUAACCUGAUCAAAAAGCCACGGCAAACUCCGG
rnacentral:rRNA from 1 species